AAGGGGAGUAGAUGGAUCACUCGGGCACCACCGAGCACUGAGGAGCUGACCUUCCAGUCAAUGAAAAUGUCAAUUUUUACUGUAUGAAAAGAAGGAAACAAAAUCCUUACAUCAGCUUUAGUCCUUGUGGAAAUCACCUUUGUUCCAUCUUGAUCUGGACCUUUCUACCUGUGAGAACUUGUUUAGUACCAUUCGCUUUGGGUACAUAAUAAUACCAAUUACCUUUGGCCUGGUUAACAAGUGACCUGUAGCGUUCUCAUCACAAAUAUGCCACACUCCAAUGAGAACAAGGACUGCCCUCCCCAUCAUGUUCAUUGGCAUUGCCGCUGACGGGCUCUCCACCGUCAAUCACCUGUGCGGAGGGGCAGAGUAAUUUGAAACUCUCCAGGGUUUGCUAUGUAACAUCACAUGCUCUUUGUAGUGCUGCCGUACACGAUCAGAACUUGAAAUAAUACCUAUGUUUUCUCUAAUUUAUUUUUCUCAGAACGUAUGGACCGACCAUUUGUCUGAAAGUUAAAUGUUUAAACAGCCUGAAAACAGCACGGCAUCAACAAAACACCAGCUGUGCAGCAGCAAAGGCUGUCUGUGUGGGAACAUUUCAGUUACUGCGCAGCUCGGAAUAAUAUGGGACAGAGAAUAAUACUAAUGGAAGGAAUCAGACUGAGCUAAGUCACAGAUUGAAAUUCCCAUUCUCACACAGGCAGGAAAUCUGUUGGGGAAUUAGAUGGACAGACCAGUUGCCGGCGUCAUGAGCAGUUAGAAGGUUAGAAAUGACAAAAAUUGUGUACGGGAAUUUUAAACAGAACAACAUGUCAGUUUGCUGUCUCUGCCCAGAUAUUUAAGGAGUUACUAGAUAUUUAACAAUGUAUCACUGUUGAUCUUUGGAGAUGAAGAAUUUUGUCAUCACAGCUGGAAAAGUGCUUUGUGUCUGAAAUUAAGUUUUCUGUUGUAACUCACUGAAAUCCACUGGAACCGGGGAACUGAGAACACACCAGCAUUUGUUCACUGGAGAUCAGUUCUUCAACUACUUUGAUUGUGCAAGGGGUUUACUACAUCUGAUAUUUGACUUAUGAAUUGAAAGAACUGUGGGAAGGGAUUCACUCUUCACUCACUCAUCUCACCUGCAUGCACAACAGCGAUAAGAUGUCUUUCACCUGCGCUGAUUGUGGGAAGGGAUUCACUCGGUCAUCCUGCCUACUGACACACCAGCGAGUUCACACUGGUGAGAAGCCAUUCACCUGCUCAGACUGUGGGAAGGGAUUCACUCAGUCAUCGCAACUGCGGAGACACCAGUCACUUCACACUGGGGAGAAGCCAUUCGCCUGCUCAGACUGUGGGAAGGGAUUCACUUGGUCAUCUGAACUGAAGAUACAUCAGCGAACUCACACUGGAGAGAGGCCAUUCACCUGUUCAGACUGUGGGAAAGGGUUUAUUCGGUCAUCUCAACUGAAGGUACAUCAGCGAACUCACACUGGGGAGAGACCGUUCACCUGCUCAGUCUGUGGGAAAGGAUUCACUCAGUCUUCUGUACUGAAGGAACAUCAGCGAAUUCACACCGCAGAGAGGCCAUUCACCUGCUCAGACUGUGGGAAAGGAUUCACUCAUUCAUCUGUACUGAAGGUGCAUCAGAGAAUUCACACUGGGGAGAGGCCGUUCACCUGCUCAGACUGUGGGAAGAAAUUCACUGACUCAUCCAGGCUACAGGCUCACCAGCGAGUUCAUACUGGAGAGAGGCCGUUCACCUGUUCAGACUGUGGGAAGGCAUUUACUCGGUCAUCUCAAGUGAUGGUACAUCAGCGGAUUCACACUGGGGAGAGGCCAUUUUCCUGCUCUGAAUGUGGGAAGAGAUUUAUUCAUUUAUCUGACCUGCAGGUGCACCAGCGAGUCCACACUGGAGAGAGGCCGUUCACCUGCUCAGACUGUGGGAAGGCAUUUACUCGGUCAGUUGAACUGAAGACACAUCAGCGAAUUCACACUGGGGAGAGGCUGUUCAUCUGCUCAGACUGUGGGAAAGGGUUUAUUCGGUCAUAUCAACUGAAGGUGCAUCAACGAGUCCACACUGGGGAGAGACCGUUCACCUGCUCAGACUGUGGAAGGGGAUUUAUUCAGUCAUCUCGACUGAUGAUACAUCAGCGUAUUCACACUGGGGAGAGACCGUACGCCUGUUCUGAUUGUGGAAAGAGAUUCAGUCAGUCAUCCGACUUACAGACACACCGACGAGUCCACACUGGAGAGAGGCCAUUUUCCUGCUCCCAAUGUGGGAAGAGAUUCUCUCAGUCAUCCCACCUUGUGACGCACUACCGAGUUCACACUGGGGAAACUGUUUAAACAGGCGACAGGCUACAGGCUGGAUAUUUCACCAUCACAGUUGCUGAAUCAAGUUCAAAAGUGACUGUUGGUGCCGAACUCGGCAAUUACUGCUGCUGUUUAUCAAACCCAGUUCCGCACUCUGGUCACUGGGCGUGGGAGUUAUUCCUCAGCGAAUGUUCACGUUUAAUGGGACUGGAAUUUAAUGGUUUGGAUCUGUGACGCAGAAAUCAGUUCUAAUUUAAAUCCUGUCCACACCUACAGAAUCUCCUUUCUCUCCCCAGAAUAUCAUCUCUUAUAACUGCCACAAGGGCUAAAUUUACACUUCCCUGUUAAGCUUCAGAGUGGACAGUGCUGCCGGCCUUUCUGUUGCUUCCAUGCCCCAAUGGAUCAACUCCCCACCCACUGAGCAGUAUCCAACAAGGUGUUCUGCUGUGGAGAAUGCCCACAGGACAGCCCUGCACUGUCUUCCUAAUGACCCUUACCUCUGCUGGUGGUCACGCUUCUCCUGUCCGAAGCUUGUACUCUGGGUGUGGCCACCUCUUCAGAUGUUUCAUUGAUAGUAUCUUCAGGCUCCCGAAUGAUCCUGAGUACAUCCAACUCCCUGAACCAGUCAGUCCGGCGCUGUGAAUGGGUGCACUUCCUGUAAAUAGUCAUCGGAAAACUGUCGGAUGUCCAGAGUUCCCACAUCUGACUGGAGGAGCAUCCCAUCCUGACUGCUCUGCACCAAAAUACACCACUGUCUGAAUGAAUUAACAUACGCAAGAAAACAUCGAACGGGAAUGGGGCAAUGACAGUGGAAGUAGAGUGUUCAAUUACCUGUGUUUUUGCCAUGAGGUCGAAGGAAUAGAGGCUGCCAUUUUGUGAAGCUGUUCUGUCACCCCCAUUUUGUGCACUGAUUGCUGUGGGAUAACCUGAUCAGAUCAACUGAACACAAGAAGUUACUGGUAUUCCCAUUGUAAGCCUGAAAUCACUCUCACAUAAUCUGUGCAUUAUGUACACUGUCGGGUUUGCAGAAGUAAUCUCGUUAUCUCUGAACCUGAAGUCACUCUGAGAUAAGGUGUGUAUUACGUACAGUGGCAGUUCUGCAGAAGGAAUCUCGAUAUUUCUGCUGAGAGUCCGAGCGACACAGUUUGUCUGUUUGGAUCCAUUGUGGAGGAGAACAAAAUAAAUUACCUUUGACAUGAUGUUGUGUAGCCCUUGGACUACAUCCAAUGGAAAUCUGUUAGUCAUCAGCCUGAUGGACCUCAGCCAACAAGAAUGAGAUGCGUCCUCUGAACUGAUAAGAGUUGUGUCAAAUGUUUCAAAUCAUGCUUGUUUCAAAACAAGUAAAGAGUUUCAAAUGCAAAGGUGUGAUAACUCCGGAGACUAACUAUCACAAGGAAGAACCCCCAUGGAAGGGAUAGGAGAAGAAAUGAUCGAUCAUUUGGAUACAGUGGGAUCCCCUGUUUCAGUGUUGUGAAUUUGAGAAGUGGUCAGGGUGUUUAUUAAUACAGAGGCAGCAGUGGAAUUCAUGUUUCAGUUGUUAGCCUGGGGUUUUCAUUGUUACUUUGUUGUUUGUGCAGGAAAAUUAAAGAGAGAGCUGUAACAAUUACGAGUUUCCUGAUGAGGUUCCAAACUGAUCUCAGUUGAUGAACGGUGAACAUAUUUUCGCGCCCUGGGUGCACUCGAAAAGAAGGAAAAGUGGUCUGGGACCCUGGUGUCGAGUUGACCCACACAGUAGAUUAGGAUAUUAAACUGUGAAAGGGAAAGGACAGGAGGAAGAAACCAGGGAUUCAGAGGAUUUCAGAGAUUACUUUCAUCGUUAAUUAUUAAGGAAAUGGUCAAAUUAUGAGGUGUGGUUAGAAAAGUUUGACAGCCAAGGUUCCGGGACUGUGGAGGAAGAAUUGUGGAAAAUAGUUCGUGAAAAUAAGUUAAAGAAAUUACCAGGGAUUAAAAAUGUUGUAAUGUGAUGUUUGUUGGAUGAUCUAAUUGAAGUGAAGAGAGAAAAAACUGAAAUUGGCAGAGAAAUUGUGUAAGUGUAGGGAAGAGUUAGAAAUUGUGACGGAGCAGGAUCAGGUGAAUUUGAUCCACAUGAGUCAGUUUCAGGCUCAGUGUGAAAGCGUUAACAAGAGAAAAUGAGAAAACAGAAGAGGAGGAUAAACAGGCGGAUACAGAAUUAGAGAAAGGAAAAGUCAGGGUCGGGAUUUACGGCUGUUACGAAUGUCAUGAAGAAAUUGGCAGCUGAGAAGAAAGGCUGCGCUGAUCACAAGUGUUUAAAACAGAUGGAAAAUCUGCAAAGUGAACUCUCAGCUCGGAGAGGAGUGAUAUGUGCGAGGACGGACGAUGAUGGUGAUGCAGAUUGGGGUGAUUUAACGUAUGAAGAGACGCUUGUAUCACACACCGGUCACCAGUCACCUGAUGAGACCCUACAUUAUCCCAGAUUGCUUUGCUGUAUGCUAACUAAGGACGUGGAAGGAGGCGUGUGACUUUGGCUUCGAAGGACAAAAAAUAAGAUGAUCAAAGUAAAUAUGUUAUUAUGACCUGAAUUCACUUUUGUGUUGAAAAUGCAUUUUUGUGUCAGUGUCCCACGCAGCUGUAUCCACCCCCACCCCCACGUUUCUUUGUAAUGUGUGAAAGUGCACUGUUUAUUUUAAGUUUUGCAAUUAUUCUGUGGAACGAAACAGCUGUGGGAUUGGGGACAAUGUUUCUGUUGCGUUUUUAUUUGUUUUUCUGCAUUUCGUGCGGAAGAGGAGUUGUUGAUGUUUUUUUCUUGGUUUCGAGGCUAUAUGGUGAAGAAGAAUCACAGGAUUGUGUACUGCAUACAUAUUCUGAUAAUAAAUAUAAUGAAAUGAA